UACGGAGGGUGCAAGCGUUAUUCGGAUUUAUUGGGCGUAAAGGGCGUGUAGGUGGUCUGAUAAGUCAGGUGUGAAAGCCCCUGGCUCAACCAGGGAAGUGCACUUGAAACUAUCAGACUUGAGUACGGGAGGGGGAAGUGGAAUUCCUGGUGUAGAGGUGAAAUUCGUAGAUAUCAGGAGGAAUACCGGUGGCGAAGGCGACUUCCUGGACCGAUACUGACACUGAGACGCGAUUGCGUGGGGAGCAAACAGG
rnacentral:rRNA from 1 species